GCAUUGCUCAACGCCCAAUGGACAAGUCGCCACCCUCCUAAGAUGGAGAUUCCGGGUUCGAUCCCCGGGUAGGGUA
rnacentral:tRNA from 1 species